ensembl:lncRNA
AAAACAAAACUGAAGAAAAUCACUUAAAUCUAUCCAUAGUUUAUGGAACAGGUAGGAGUAUUAAUAUAGAAACAUGGUUGAAAGGUCAAGAGUAGGAUAUUAGAUGCCACUGGUUUCAAACCCAUCCCUGGGCUGUCUUGAGGUCUGUAAUUAUUUUAGGACCCAGGAGGAGUCUGACUUUGAGUUGGAGGAGCAGCUAACAGAAAUCUCUUGCGGUUGGGCCAAGUUCCCACUCCUCUCCUGGAAGUCGGGAUGCGAUCUCCAUCUAGGGAGAUGCUUAGGUGAGUAGGAGGAGUGGCCUAUGAUGCAGGUGAAUGUGGAGGAAAGCACAGAAGGCAGCUGGUUCCUGAGAAAUGCCUCCCAAUGAUCAGCUCUUGCCCACCUCACUUCCUCCUCCAAACCUGGGUGGAAAUAUGAAGCCACCAUUCACUGGUGGUUACUCAUUCUGAUGACAGAAGCUGAUUGCAACAAAAUGUCAUUUCGCAGCUGUUUGUUUCCACUUCUACUUGCCUGGUCCUCCCGCCCUCCCCCGCCCCGCCCCAAUUCAGACUGAGCUGUCUACAUCAUUCCUUUUGUCUUUUCAGGUGGAGAUGGCAUAAUGGUACCCAUGUCAGUGACAUAGAAGACUCUGUCCUCUCAGCCCUGGGCUUUGUCCCCAGGGGAAGGGGCAAGAGUCGACAGUUAUGGCGCAACGAAGUGACCCAGAAUGGACUUCCUUCCUUCACCUGGACUCUACGAGGAACUGGAGCUUUGGUACCAGCUGUGGCCCCUUGCACCCAUCAGCCUCCUCAGCAGACUAACUUGGAUGCCUCAGGCAUGACCUGCAACCAAGACUGGAAAAAGACAUAAUUUAAGAAACUGUCUCCAACCUGGAUGGAUGGACCUUUCUGUCAGAUACUGUUAACUGACUCAUGCGCAGUGAAAUGGAAGGGAAAUUGACUCUUGAAUUAACUCCGACUUCCAAAGGCCCCUAAGCUGGACUGGUCUAUAGAGAGGCCUGCUGACCUCAAACUCACUUUAAAACGAGUCUCAAAGAGGAAGCUGCACUACACUAGGGUGAGAAGACGACAAGAUCAGAAGUAGACAGCUUGCCCAAGAUGCUGGAUCUGAUUCAUAUGAUCAUUUACACUGUUUUCUGUAUUCCUUGGACCUGUGCCUAUCAGUCAAAUGGUUUGAAUCAUGGAUAUGAUUCUACACUAGUUUAAAUCUCAAUUCAAUUGUUGAGUUGUGGCCAAUAACCUGUGUCUAGUAAUUCUGGGUUACCUUGGUGGAUUUCCCUCUUUCAAGACUCUGAUUGGAUACACCUUAGGAAAUUUAUUUUAGAUGAGAGUUCAGUCCUGUUCUGUCUAUUCAUGAUAUUACUAGAUGAGAUCCUCUCAUCUGGCCAAUUAAUAAUACCUGCUUAAUACCUGCUCUGAUCCUGGCCAUAGAUUUAAGUUUUCUCUUAGGGUCAUUCAAACUCAAUCAGAGUGAUGAGAGCUAAGUCUUAAUCAAAAAACUAACCUCUCAUCUCUUAAAAGGAAAACUCCCACAAUUAUGGGAUGAAUCUAUAUGCUUAACACCAGACUAUGAUCAUUUAAAUUUAAAAGCUCCUCUAUGUUGGAAACAAUUAAAUCAUACUAAAAAUGACCAACCUGGUAAUAUUAUGAGACAAAGCUGGGUGCUUUAUGAACUAUGCCUAUUAUUACCCUUAGAGAGAGAAAUUGGUAUGAAACUCAGUGGAUUUGUGGCACUAAUUUAUGGCCUUGAUAUCUACAGGGAUGGAUACAAAGGUGUAGCCUGGAUUUCCAUGAAUUUAAGGUCAUACACAUUAACAAAUUAGAGGUAACCCCAACCAAUCUACCAUUGGUAUGAUCCCAGUUGGUCAAAGCUCUGUAUUCUACUGGUAUGACCAUUUAGCAGCUUUGUGUGUGUGUGUGUCUUCAUUGAGGUUGGAGGAUAUAAUUGGCCAUAUCGAAGCCUUAACAACUUUCAUAAGCUUUAAAUGAUAGUAACUGGGCUAUUAGCGUAUUGAAUUCUGAGAUCUCUAUGAUAAGAAAGGCAGUGCUACACAACUGCAAGGCCCUUGACACUUUACAGCACCACAGGAAGAUAGCUGUGCUACAAUCCAAAGUGAAUGCUAUAUUUUCAUUCCUGAUAAAUCCUUUAAUGUAAUACAUUUUAUGAACCAUAUGAAAAAUCAUAUUUCUGCCUAAGUGACCCAUUCCCUAGUCUUGACAAUCUUUUAAAAAACUGGUUUGGUGUGGGAGGCUCAUGGCUAAAAUGUUUAGUUUUAAUUCCACUAAUGUCAUUAACUAUACUAUUUGUAUUUUGCCCGUUUCACAAGAUUAUUGUUUCUUGUAUUACCAAGUGUAUGACUGAGCCUCCAAUGAAAAUAAUGAUGACUAGACUUGAUAUAUAUAUGAUCAAUGAUUGUAAUAGUGUAACUCUAGAUAUGGGAAGAUGCAACAAAAGGGAAUACUUUCCUGGACCAUGACUAGAAGACAGGUGUCCAGCGGUCUUUGACUAUUAAGACCUAGUCCAAUAAUAGCACAUUGAGCGGCCUAUCAGCAAAAACUUUCAGAACUGGGAACGAGCCUUCCCAGUAAUGUGAGAAUGGUCAUGAAAGGCCCCCCAAGGUAUGGUCUGAUUUAUGACCACAAGGGGGCCGUGUCAACUACAAAUUGACACUUACCAAGAGCAUUGCCAACGACUGAACAGCAAAGGCAUCUGCCAUCUGCCUCUAUGAGACGGAACCCCACACUGCUGUAGCUGUUGACCUUCAACACCCCCUGAGGGAGUUCAGGGUGGAGUGAGGCACUCUGUGCUCCAGGGACAGGUCUUUAGAUAGUUGGAGGUUUUUAGGAACCGAUUUUAUGAUCUCAGUCCUUGCAUCUCCUUAUAUCUAGAGAAGCACUAAAUUCCUUCAUGGUGACAUUAGAGCCUCAGGACUAACAGAAAACCCUUUUGUAAACUGAGUGCUUAAUGGUAUUGAACUCCCCAUUCACCAAAACCUUAUAUAUUGACCUUACCCCACUGCCACUUUGGAGCAGUGUUUCAAAGCUACCUGAGAUGCCGCCUCCUGGGCUACAGUCCUCAUUUUUCCCCAGAUAAAAUUUAACUCACAACUCUCAAAAAAAAAAAAAAAAAAGUAUUUUAUUUUUUAAAUAGAAAAUCCAUGGUCAUGGUCCAAAACCCAAAAGAUAAGAGAAGGAUAUUUAGUGACAAAUCUUCUGCUGCCUCAUCCUCAACCAGUGUUCUCCCCAGUACUUUUCUUCAUUGUUACUAGUUUCUUUUAUUCCAACCAGAGAUUGUGUGUGUGUGUAUGAGUGUGUGAGUGUACGAGUGUGUCUUAAUUUAGGCUACCCUAGAAACAGACCUUGACAUAAGGAUUGAAAUGCGGCUAUUUAUCUGGGAAGUGCUCCCAGGAAACUUCUGCAGGGACUGGGGCAUGAGACUGGGGAGGGAAGGCAGCCAAUAAAGGGAAGAUCAUGUUGUAAAUCCCA